CGAGCCGGGGCAGCCACGUGGCGGCGGGGCGGGGACCGGGAGGGCCGGGCGCUGGGAGCUGGCUGUCCCAGGAGCAGAGCAGUCUCCCUGUCCAGAUCACCAGGAUCCCUGCUUGCUGGAGAAUGACCCAGAUGUCCCAGGUGCAGGAGCUCUUCCAUGAGGCAGCCCAGCAGGAUGCCCUGGCCCAGCCCCAGCCCUGGUGGAAGACCCAGCUGUUCGUGUGGGAGCCUGUGCUGUUUGGGACCUGGGAUGGUGUGUUCACAUCCUGCAUGAUCAACAUCUUUGGGGUUGUGCUCUUCCUGAGGACUGGCUGGCUGGUGGGAAACACAGGAGUGCUCCUGGGCAUGUUCCUGGUGUCCUUCGUCAUCCUGGUGGCCCUCAUCACGGUGCUGUCUGGCAUUGGCGUCGGGGAGCGCAGCAGCAUCGGCAGCGGUGGCGUCUACUCCAUGAUCUCCUCGGUCCUGGGUGGGCAGACGGGAGGCACCAUCGGGCUGCUCUAUGUGUUUGGACAGUGUGUUGCAGGUGCCAUGUACAUCACCGGCUUUGCUGAAUCCAUCUCGGAUUUGCUGGGCCUCGGGAAUAUUUGGGCUGUGCGAGGAAUUUCAGUUGCGGUGCUUCUGGCCUUGCUGGGCAUUAACCUCGCAGGUGUCAAAUGGAUAAUCCGCCUCCAGCUGCUGUUGCUGUUCCUGCUGGCCGUGUCCACACUGGACUUUGUGGUGGGUUCUUUCACCCACCUGGACCCAGAACAUGGUUUCAUUGGAUAUUCACCCGAACUGCUACAGAACAACACGCUGCCCGAUUACAGCCCGGGGGAAUCUUUUUUCACUGUCUUUGGGGUUUUCUUCCCAGCAGCUACAGGAGUCAUGGCCGGCUUCAACAUGGGGGGCGACCUCAGGGAGCCUGCCGCCAGCAUUCCCCUGGGCUCCCUGGCAGCUGUUGGCAUCUCGUGGUUUCUGUACAUCGUCUUCGUCUUCCUCCUGGGCGCCAUCUGCACUCGAGAGGCCCUUCGCUAUGACUUCCUCAUAGCGGAAAAGGUAUCCCUCGUGGGCUUCCUGUUCCUUUUGGGCUUAUACAUCUCGUCCCUGGCUUCCUGUAUGGGAGGACUUUAUGGAGCUCCCCGCAUCCUGCAGUGCAUUGCCCAGGAGAAAGUGAUCCCUGCACUUGCCUGUCUGGGACAAGGGAAGGGGCCAAACAAAACACCCGUGGCUGCCAUCUGCCUGACCAGCUUGGUGACCAUGGCCUUUGUUUUUGUGGGUCAAGUGAACAUUCUGGCCCCCAUCGUCACCAUCAACUUCAUGCUGACAUACAUCGCAGUGGACUACUCUUACUUCUCCCUGUCCAUGUGUUCCUGCAGCCUGACCCCGGUGCCUGAGCCGGUGCUCAGGGAGGGCCCGGAAGGCCUCCACUGCUCUGAGCACCUGCUCUUAGAGAAAGCUCCCAGUUACGGCUCUGAGGGACCUGCCCAAAGAGUCUUGGAGGGCACGCUACUGGAAUUCACCAAGGACAUGGAUCAGCUCCUCCAGCUAACCAGGAAGCUUGAGAGUAGCCAGCCCAGGCAAGGAGAGGGUAACAGGACCCCAGAAAGUCAGAAGAGGAAAAGCAAGAAGGCCACCAAGGAGACCCUACAAGAUAGCUUCCUCUUGGACCUCAAAUCCCCUCCUUCUUUCCCUGUUGAGAUCUCUGACAGGUUGCCCGCUGCCUCCUGGGAGGGGCAGGAGUCCUGCUGGAACAAGCAGACUUCCAGGAGCGAAGGGACUCAGCCUGAGGGAACAUAUGGAGAGCAACUUGUUCCUGAGCUGUGCAACAAAUCAGAGUCCAGUGGAGAAGUGCAAGAAGGGUGUUCCAACUCCGUGGGAGGCUCUCUUCCAUGCAUCCACUCAGGGAUCCAGGCUCCUGCCAUUUGUAUGACUUCACUGUGCCCUCGGACCUAGUCGUGUGAAGAGUCAAGACUGAGUUAUCACAUUCAGAUUUCAGGCAGAGGAAGGGGAAAGUGCACAGAGAAGAGGCACACAUUCUCUUAAAGACCUUGGGCCAGGAGUGGCACUCACUGCUUCUGUUCACAUUCUGUUGCUGAGAACUUAGUCACAUGGUUACACCUAACAGUGAGAAAUCCUGUGGACUGUACUCUAGCUGUGGUCUGUACCACAGGAGCCCGCUGCAGUAAAUGGAUGAAAGAUGAAAGUGGGUUGGACUAGGAUGGGAGCAAUGGAGGCAGUGAGGAGUCAUUGUAUCCAGAAUAUAUUCUGAUAGUAGAAUCAACAAGGUUUACGGAUGGAAUAAGUAUAGGUGUGAGAGAAAGAAGGGAGUCAGGAUGAAUCUUACAUGUUUGUGUAAAUGGUGGUGUUAUUUAUUCAAAUGAAGAUUUGAGGUGAAUAGAUUUCUGUGUUAGUCAUGUUAAGUUUAAGGUGCUUAUUAGCCAACUAAUGGGUGAUACUGAGAAGACAAUGAGCUAUUCAAAACUUAAGUUCAAGGGAGAGGUCGAGGAUGAUGUAAACUUGGAGUCAUCAAUAUAUCAGUAGCAUUUAAAGCCAUGAGACUAGAAGAAAUCUCUUAGGAGUGGGUAUACAUGGAAAAAAGGAGUGCUGAAGACUGAAUGUUGGAAUACUCCAAUAUUUUCAGGCUGGAAGGAGGAGGCGAGCCAGCAAAGAAGACUGAGAGAGUGGGCAGUGACAUAGAAAAAUCAAGAGAGUGAGGCAUCUUAGAGGCUAAUUGUUCCAAGAAGGAGAAAGUGAUCACAUGUAUCAGAUGCUGCCUGAAAGAUCAAAUGGGAUGAGGGCUAGGAGUUGACCACAGAAUUUGAAAAGAUUCAAAUCAUUGGCAACUUUGGUAAGAGUAGUUUUAGUGGAAAAGUGGAUACAAUCAUAAGAGUGGGUUGGGGAAAUAAUGGGAUAUAGAGACUGCAUAGGCAAUUCUUUUGAGGAACUUUGCUAUAAGGGAGACACAGCAAUAGGACAAUAACUAGGGGUGACCUGUAGACAUUUGUUUAGGUGGGAGAGAUGACAGUAUAUUUGUAUUUGUUGGGAAUGAUUCAGUAGGGGACAGGAAAAUUGAUGAUGUGAGAACAAAGUCCUUGAACAGGCCAAAAGGAAUGGGAUCCUGGCACAAGUGGAGGGAUGGGCCUUAGGAUCAGAGGCUGUUCAUCCACCGUGAAAGGAAGGAAGGAAGAAUAGAGGGUAUAGAUGCAAGUGAAUUGGCUAAUUGGGUGAUGAGAGAACAUGAAAAGUUCUCUUUGGAGAAGAGAGCUUGUAAAUUUGUUCUAUCAGAGAGUAGGAGGAUGAGUUGCCUAGGUAUGAGGCUGCUGAGUAAUUCUGAAGCAUGGGAGCAGAUGUGUAUGUAGGUAAGAGGUUAGGGAAAGCGGGAGGUAGGUGAUGGAAAUCAAAAACAUACUAAGGCAAAUUAUCUAAAGGUCCCUCUGUAGACUAUGAAUGGUUGGAAUGAGGAACAGCAGAGCAAAUGAGCUUAACUUUGUUUUUAAAGGAGGUUAUGGGCUGAGAGUAGAUUGCUUAAAGUCAUGAUUUAGGAAGUGUAAGGUUACUGGUAAUGACACACCGCAAGUGCAGCUAAGGGAGUUGACAGUUGGGAUGAGUGAAAGAAAAGAUUAUUAGUAUGAGGAUUUCGAGGAAUCGAGAAAGUAGGGCUUUGGAUGAGUUGUUUUUGUAGAAGUCACCAAGGAUGACAAUGGAUGCUGAUAGAGAAAAAGAUGGUGAACCAGGGGCUGAAAUAUUUAACAAGCAAGAGAAGAAUGACAACUUGGUAAAAGACUGUAAUGAUGAAGGGUAGGGUGUGAAAUAGUCUGAUGGCAUGUGCUUCAAAGGGGCUAGAUCAUAAAGCAACAGUGACCAGAGAGGUUGGGAGACUUGGACUAGGAAUACUUAGUGAGUUCUGCUACAUGCCAAGCCCUAGGCUCAAGAUGGAUGUGGACCCUGCCCCCAUGAAGCAUAUAAUCCAGUGGGCAUAGAAACAUGUAAAUAAGUAUACAACUAUAAAUGAUGAUUUCUUCCUGAAGUCCAGGCUCCAAGAACAAGAUGUCUGGAGAAGAUCCACUUCUUUCUAUACCCACAUGUGCAACCCCUGGGUCUCCCUGUUGGGGGCUGUUGGGUCCCUUCUCAUCAUGUUUGUGAUACAGUGGGUGUAUACCCUGGUUAACAUGGGUGUUGCUGCCAUUGUGUAUUUCUACAUUGGCCGGGCCAGUCCAGGGCUUCACCUUGGAUCAGCCUCCAACUUCAGCUUUUUCCGGUGGAUGAGGUCUCUCUUGCUCCCCUCCUGCAGCCACUCCAUUCCAUUAUUUUUGACAAAAAAAAAAGCAAAGAAAAGCUACAGAGCCCCAACAUGAUACCAUUUGGAGGGCAAAACCUCUCUUUGUUGGUUAUUUCCUAUCAGGAGCUUGCGGUCCCCUCAGGAGCAGAUCAUCUUGGCGCCGUCCCUGGCUAAGGUUGACAUGGAGAUGACUCAGCUCACCCAGGAGAAUGCAGACUUCGCCACUCGGGAUCACUACCACCACUCGUCCCUCAUGAGCCGGGAGCAGCUGAUGCCUCACUACUAGAUGCAGUGCUGGGACCUUCCUCUUUUGGAGCUGUCCCAUGCACAGUAGACCCAAGCCCAGGACCUUCAUGGAGCUGCUUCUCCAACCUGAGAAACUCAAGACCCAUCCUCCCGCUGUCACUUUGGACAAUGGAAAUCUACAUUUUCUUUUCCCAUUUUUUUUUUUUUUGAGACAGAGUCUCGCCCUGUCACCCAGGCUGGAGUCCAGUGGCACAAUCUUGGCUCACUGCAACCUCUGCUUCCCGAGUUCAAGCAAUUCUCCUGCCUCAGCCUCCUGAGUAGCUGGGAUUACAGGCAUGCACCACCACACCCAGCUAUUUUUUGUAUUUUUACUGGAGACAGGGUUUUACCAUGUUGGCCAGGCUGGUCUCGAACUCCUGACCUCGUGAUCCACCCGUCUCAGCCUCCCAAAGUACUGGGAUUACAGGCGUGAGCCACCAUGCCUGGCCAGAAAUCUAUGUUUUCUUAGAACAUGUGGAAGAAGGAAAAAGACAAAAAAGGAAAUCUGGAUUCUGAGGACCACGUCUCACCCAGGAUGACAUCAGGAAUGGUGCUAGCCUCGGCAACACGACACCCAGUCUGAAGAGCUCUAUACAGGUACUAAGACUAGCAGGGGACACCAAGACUCUGCACAACCAGAUUGCUUGUGCAGAGGGCCACAAUAAGUGUAUGUUUUAUAUUUUAUUGUAUUAUUUAUUCAAAAAUAAAUAAUACACUCACAUGUUUCCACACCCAAAA